rnacentral:rRNA from 1 species
AUAGCGUAUAUUUAAGUUGUUGCAGUUAAAAAGCUCGUAGUUGGAUUUCGGGUGAGUGUUAGCGGUCCGGUUCGCUGUGCACUGCUAGCACUUAUCUUUCUGCCGUAUAUAGGUACCUGGGCUUCACUGUUUGGGUCCUACAGCCGGCGAGGUUACUUUGAGUAAAUUAGAGUGUUCAAAGCAAGCUUAUGCUAUGAAUACAUUAGCAUGGAAUAACACGAUAGGACUCUGGCUUAUCUUGUUGGUCUGUAAGACUGGAGUAAUGAUUAAGAGGGACAGUCGGGGGCAUUCAUAUUUCAUUGUCAGAGGUGAAAUUCUUGGAUUUAUGAAAGACGAACUUCUG